rnacentral:rRNA from 1 species
GCGAGCAUCUGCCAGGAUGUUUUCAUUAAUCAAGAACGAAAGUUAGGGGAUCGAAGACGAUCAGAUACCGUCGUAGUCUUAACCAUAAACGAUGCCGACCAGCGAUUAGGAGACGUUGAAUACAAAACACCACCAUCGGUGCGGUCGUCCUUGGCGUCUCGGUUUCGGCCGGGGUGCGGGGACGGCUUAGCCCGGUGGCACCGGUGAAUGACUCCCCU